rnacentral:rRNA from 1 species
UACGUAGGGGGCUAGCGUUGUCCGGAAUCAUUGGGCGUAAAGCGCGCGUAGGCGGCCCGGUAAGUCCGCUCUGAAAGUCCAGGGCUCAACCCUGGAAUGCGGGUGGAUACUGCCGGGCUAGAGUCCGGAAGAGGCGAGUGGAAUUCCUGGUGUAGCGGUGGAAUGCGCAGAGAUCCGGAAGAACACCGGUGGCGAAGGCGGUCUGCUGGGCAGUAGCUGACACUGAGGCGCGACAGCGUGGGGAGCAAACAGG